UACGUAGGUGGCAAGCGUUGUCCGGAAUUAUUGGGCGUAAAGCGCUCGCAGGCGGUUCUUUAAGUCUGAUGUGAAAUCUUGCAGCUCAACUGCAAACGUGCAUUGGAAACUGGAGGACUUGAGUGCAGAAGAGGAGAGUGGAAUUCCACGUGUAGCGGUGAAAUGCGUAGAGAUGUGGAGGAACACCAGUGGCGAAGGCGACUCUCUGGUCUGUAACUGACGCUGAGGAGCGAAAGCGUGGGGAGCGAACAGG
rnacentral:rRNA from 1 species